ACACACGCAAGUCGAACGAAGCACUUCAUAAAGCUUGCUUCAAGAAGUGACUUAGUGGCGGACGGGUGAGUAACGCGUGGGUAACCUGCCUUACACAGGGGGAUAACAGUUAGAAAUGACUGCUAAUACCGCAUAAAACAGCAGAGUCGCAUGACUCAACUGUCAAAGAUUUAUCGGUGUAAGAUGGACCCGCGUCUGAUUAGCUUGUUGGUGGGGUAACGGCCUACCAAGGCGACGAUCGGUAGCCGGCCUGAGAGGGUGAACGGCCACAUUGGGACUGAGACACGGCCCAAACUCCUACGGGAGGCAGCAGUGGGGAAUAUUGGACAAUGGGCGAAAGCCUGAUCCAGCGACGCCGCGUGAGCGAUGAAGUAUUUCGGUAUGUAAAGCUCUAUCAGCAGGGAAGAAAACGACGGUACCUGACUAAGAAGCCCCGGCUAACUACGUGCCAGCAGCCGCGGUAAUACGUAGGGGGCAAGCGUUAUCCGGAUUUACUGGGUGUAAAGGGAGCGUAGACGGCAUCACAAGUCAGAAGUGAAAAUCCGGGGCUCAACCCCGGAACUGCUUUUGAAACUGUGGAGCUGGAGUGCAGGAGAGGUAAGCGGAAUUCCUAGUGUAGCGGUGAAAUGCGUAGAUAUUAGGAGGAACACCAGUGGCGAAGGCGGCUUACUGGACUGUAACUGACGUUGAGGCUC
rnacentral:rRNA from 1 species